GUGGGGAAUCUUGCGCAAUGGGCGAAAGCCUGACGUAGCCAUGCCGCGUGAAUGAUGAAGGUCUUAGGAUUGUAAAAUUCUUUCACCGGGGACGAUAAUGACGGUACCCGGAGAAGAAGCCCCGGCUAACUUCGUGCCAGCAGCCGCGGUAAUACGAAGGGGGCUAGCGUUGCUCGGAAUUACUGGGCGUAAAGGGCGCGUAGGCGGAUCGUUAAGUCAGGGGUGAAAUCCCAGAGCUCAACUCUGGAACUGCCCUUGAUACUGGCGAUCUUGAGUGUGAGAGAGGUAUGUGGAACUCCGAGUGUAGAGGUGAAAUUCGUAGAUAUUCGGAAGAACACCAGUGGCGAAGGCGACAUACUGGCUCAUUACUGACGCUGAGGCGCGAAAGCGUGGGGAGCAAACAGGAUUAGAAACCCCGGUAGUCC
rnacentral:rRNA from 1 species